rnacentral:rRNA from 1 species
GAUGAACGCUGGCGGCGUGCCUAAUACAUGCAAGUCGAGCGAACGGACGAGAAGCUUGCUUCUCUGAUGUUAGCGGCGGACGGGUGAGUAACACGUGGAUAACCUACCUAUAAGACUGGGAUAACUUCGGGAAACCGGAGCUGAUACCGGAUGAUAUUUUGAACCGCAUGGUUCAAAAGUGAAAGACGGUCUUGCUGUCACUUAUAGAUGGAUCCGCGCUGCAUUAGCUAGUUGGUAAGGUAACGGCUUACCAAGGCAACGAUGCAUAGCCGACCUGAGAGGGUGAUCGGCCACACUGGAACUGAGACACGGUCCAGACCCCUACGGGAGGCAGCAGUAGGGAAUCUUCCGCAAUGGGCGAAAGCCUGACGGAGCAACGCCGCGUGAGUGAUGAAGGUCUUCGGAUCGUAAAACUCUGUUAUUAGGGAAGAACAUAUGUGUAAGUAACUGUGCACAUCUUGACGGUACCUAAUCAGAAAGCCACGGCUAACUACGUG